ACUCCACAGUAAACGGGAAAACCAAACACUCGCUGUCAAAUAUAGACCACACUCAUGCACGCGGCCCCGGGGAUGGAAAUAGCUGGAGCGAGAAACUCUUCUAUUAAUCAUUGUCCAGGAAGAUCGGUGAGCUAGGAGCCCUGAAUCUGAACAUGGGUCACGGACGGGUGAUCCAGCGUGACAGGGACCCAGAACACACGUCCAGGCCCACAGAGGAGGGUCUGAAGGAGAAGCAGAGUCCUGGAGUCAGGGGCCACUCAGGGGCCCCCCUCCAUCACUUGGCCCUUAGCAAACCUGGGGACCAGCUGGAAGAAACGUCUGACCUCUGUGAUGACCGGCAAGGCUUUCUGCUCCAAGGAUCACGUUUGUGAAGAGGUCAAGCACGUCCUGAUUUGACCAGUCCUAUGUCUUUCUUUGACUUCUAAAAAUAAUUUUUUGUUGCUGUCUCUGACUCUUAAAAUAAACCUGCUAUUAAAAUUA